AAUAAGGAGUAUUGAUUAUCGAACCAAUUCGCCGGUAUGUAGAAAUUGAUGGACAAUUUAUUCUAUAUCAAACUAUAAGUAUUGAUUAUCGAACCGAUUCGCCGGUAUGUAGAAAUUGAUGGACAAUUAUUCCUAUAUCAAACUAUAAGUAUUUCAUUGGUUCAUAAAAAUAAACAUGAAAUUAAUCAAAGACGCAAAAAAAAAAA